AUGGCGGCCUCUGCAAAGAUCGCCACGGAGUUUCUCAAGGAUCCACUGAUCUGGUUAUUCCUCGCCUCGCUGGCUUUCGUCAUUCUGCAGAGUCGGCGGCUGGGCAGCGCGCCAUUUCCUCCGGGUCCGAAGCCGCUGCCAGUCAUCGGCAACAUGACGUUAGUGGACCCGCUGACCCACCGCGGCCUAGCGGCGCUAGCGAAGCAGUAUGGCGGGCUGCUGCACCUUCGCCUCGGCAGGCUCCACGUCUUCGCGGUGUCGACGCCGGAGUACGCGCGCGAGGUGCUGCACGUGCAGGACGCCGCCUUCUCGAACCGCCCGGCCACCAUCGCCGUCGUCUACCUCACCUACGGCCGCUCCGACAUGGCGUUCGCGCACAACGGCGCCUACUGGCGCCAGAUGCGCAAGCUCUGCGUCACCAAGAUCUUCAGCCGACGCCGCGCCGAGACGUGGCUCGCCCUGCGAGACGGGUACGGGGCGCUCGCCCGCGCCGUCGGCAGGCGCAGCGGCGAGGCCGUCAACCUCGGCGAGCUCAUCUUCAACCUCACCGUCAGUGUCAUCUUCCGCGCCGCCUUCAGCACAGGCGACGAGGAUGGGCUGGAUGAGUUCAUCGCCAUUCUCCAGGAGUUCUCCAGCCUCCUAGGAUUGUUCCACAUCGGUGACUUCUUCCCGUGGCUCGGCUGGGUGGGCCGGCGGGGCUUCAACCGCCGCCUCCGCACGGCGCGCGGCGCUCUCGACAAGUUUAUCGACAGGAUCAUCGACGAGCACAUGAGGAGGGGAAAGAACGCCGCCGACCCCGACGCUGACUUGGUAGACGGCCUGCUCGCGUUCCUCACCGAGGCAAACCCAAUCAGCGGGAAGCACAGAGAGGACGCCCUCCGCUUCACCCGCGAUAACGUCAAGGCCAUGAUUAUGCAAACUCCUAAAAUUGUGAUAGUCCCAAGUUUUUGUGGGCUUGUGACUGAAUUUGAGCGAAGUUACAUCUUGCAUAGGCAGAGGCCAGGCAAGUUUGUGGCAUUUUAA
rnacentral:rRNA from 1 species